rnacentral:rRNA from 1 species
UACGUAGGGUGCAAGCGUUAAUCGGAAUUACUGGGCGUAAAGCGUGCGCAGGCGGUUCUAUAAGACAGAUGUGAAAUCCCCGGGCUCAACCUGGGAACUGCAUUUGUGACUGUAGAGCUGGAGUGCGGCAGAGGGGGAUGGAAUUCCGCGUGUAGCAGUGAAAUGCGUAGAUAUGCGGAGGAACACCGAUGGCGAAGGCAGCUCGCUGGGACGGUACUGACGCUGAGACGCGAAAGCGUGGGGAGCAAACAGG